GACGAACGCUGGCGGCGUGCCUAAUACAUGCAAGUCGAGCGGACCAAAGGGAGCUUGCUCCUGGAGGUUAGCGGCGAACGGGUGAGUAACAUGUGGGCAACCUGCCUGUAAGACUGGGAUAACAUCGAGAAAUCGGUGCUAAUACCGGAUAAUAAAAAGAACUGCAUGGUUCUUUUUGAAAGAUGGUUUCGGCUAUCACUUACAGAUGGGCCCGCGGCGCAUUAGCUAGUUGGUGAGGUAACGGCUCACCAAGGCGACGAUGCGUAGCCGACCUGAGAGGGUGAUCGGCCACACUGGGACUGAGACACGGCCCAGACUCCUACGGGAGGCAGUCAGUAGGGAAGUCUUCCGCAAUGGACGAAAGUCUGACGGAGCAACGCCGCGUGAGUGAUGAAGGUUUUCGGAUCGUAAAACUC
rnacentral:rRNA from 1 species